GUUAAAAACUCGAAAACCGUCUUUAAUCCUCCACAUCAUCUGGACCCCACUCCACUUAUAACAUUUUCUCUCUCAGUUUUUCUAGUCCCCACCCCACCUCUCCUUAGUGGCGAAGGAAAAUUUCUCUCUCUCACACACCCAACAUAGAUAGAUAUCACACAUAGAACACGCCAACAGCGCCGAUGCAUGAAGCAGAGCUCCACGAUCUGUCGGAUGAUGCCGAUUACGCUGCGUCGAUUCAACAAGUAUUCGAUCUAACGCCAGAUUACUUGGAUUUUUACUUAUCACACAUGUUCAAUGGUUAAUUAUGAAUAAUAGGCGUUUUAUUCUCGUACUGCUUUUGAUUGCGGCGCCGCAUUGAUGUGAAAUUAAUGUUUUUGUUAAUACGAUAUUACUGGCGUGAUAUUGUUAGGGUUCAGAGAGCAUAUAUCGGGGCGACAGUAGCAAAAAGAGCUCAUGUAGCGAACCAGAGGGUGCGGAAAUCGUGUAUUUGAAAGAUAACGUGACAAUUCAUCCAACUCAAUAUGCGUCCGAGAGAAUCAGCGGCCGAUUGAAGUUGAUUAAACAAGGAAGUUCUCUUUUAAUGGUACCGAUUCAUCAGUAUCACCUAUUUUAUUGAAAAUUAGAGGAUGCUGCAAGUCAAUAUUUCAAGUUGAAUUCUAUUGUAGUUGGUGUGAGAUUCAUAGAAUUAGAAAACUUUAUGGUUAGGAAAAAAAUGAAAUAUUUGCCUGAAAGUUUCAGGGCUUCUGAUGAUAGACUGAUAGAUUGAAUGGUUUAUUCUCUUCUUUUUGCAAUAAAAAUAUUAUUUCUAUGUUAUAGAUUUGAAGACAAAACAAUUAAUUCCUUGUAAACUGUAAUUUUUCUUUAACUUCUCAAACAUUUUGGAUGUGUUAUAUGUCAGCUUAAUCUGAUAGAAAUUAAGUUUCUCCUUUAGACCAGCUAGUUUAUUGAAUUUUACUGCUUGAUUUGACGAUAAUUGUCAAGAUCACUUUUUACUUCAAUGAGAUGAGAUGAGGUGUUUAAUAGCAGCUAUGAGGAGGUUAUAUGUGAUAAUGAAAAACUACACAGGGUAUUAAAGUGCAAUUUUUAGCGUAAGUAGAUAACUAGUCUAUUGUGAAUUGUGAAUUGGUUUUUGGAGUGAUAUCCUCCGUGUUAUUGUAGACUUGGAUUCCAUACAAAGGGCAAAGUUCAAAUGCGAGGUUGUCUGAGAAAGGUUAGGCUUGAGUUUCACUUACUGUAAUCUCUCUUAUCUGAUACAUAAAAUAUACAAUACAUACAAAUGUAUUAGUUUUUCAUAACUAUGUGCAUUGCUUACGUUUUUCAAAUAUAUCUUGGCGCAGAUAAGAACCUUUACACUAUUAGAGCAGUUCCGUUUUCUGAAAUUCGAUCAAUACGUAGACACACUCCAACUCUAGGGUGGCAAUAUGUUAUUGUGGUUUUGUCAUCAGGUAUGCUUAUCAUCUACUGGUGAUUUCUCUUAUGUUCUAUAUUAAUACAUUUCCUUCUUUUUGAUCACUAGUAUCUUCCUAGAGGUUGAUGAUACGUGCUCCAUCACUAUAGUUUUACACGGGAAAUGUUUUUUUCUAGCCGAAACAAGAAGAAUGGCUUGGUUCUAAACUUGAACAAAAGAGGAAGAGGUCUUGGUGCAGAAGCUGCAUUGGAAUUGAAAAUCUUGAAACAAGAAUAAAGUUGAACAAACUCAAACUUUGUAGAGAAUAAUUUUAUUAAAAUGAAUUUGUCAUUGAAAAUAUUGCAAAUAGACAAAAUAAUCUUUUAAUCAUAAAAUCUUUAGGAAGAUAAGUAAUUAAAACUUAAAAAUAUCCUAAUCUAUGCAAGAUACUACAACUAUAAAUAACUCUUAUUCUAUUUUUGGUUGAAGAAGAGAAAAUUAAUUAAUAACGAGAAAUCUUUAAAGUUUCUGCAUCACGUUGUGAGAAUUUGAAUGUAGCUUGGAUUUGAGGAAAAGCUCUAGCCAUCGUUGUUGCGUUAUGGGCUUCAUGAAGCAACUAAUAUUUAUAGCUGUCAAAUUGUGCAAUUUUUUGUCAACAACGUUUUUAAAACCUAUCCAUAUUAGUUCAAAAUUCUAGACUGAGGUUGGUAAUAUUGUAAUCCUCCUAAUAUUGUCGAAAGGAUGCUAUCACCAUAUGUGGCCAUCAGUCUAGUGCAAAACCUUGUUCUAAUACUACUAAUUUGGUGUCAAAGUGGAAUUUGAAUUCUUAUAACAAGAAUAAAGUUGAACCAACUUGAAAAUUUGUAGAGAAUAAUUUUGUUAUAAUGAAUUGGUCAUUGAAAAAUUACAAAUCCUUUGUUUAUAUAGGCAAAAUAAUCACAUAAUCCUAAUAGCUUAAGGAAUAUUAGUAAUUAAAACAUAAGAGAAUAAGAAAGUAAAAAAAAAAAAAGUAUAGAAAGUUCUAAUCUAAACAAGAAAUAAAAUCAGACUACAACUCUAAAUAACUACUAUCCUGUUUUUCUGGUCUUGAUAAUCCACUGCUGCCUCUAGUAUCUUUUGAAAGUACAUGUACAGAAAGGUCUCCUAACUAGGAUGUGAUUGUGAUUCUGAAAUACACAAAUUUCCCAACAAAAACUCAUUUAUAGAUCCUAAUAAUAUUCAACAUCAGGGCAAAAUGUAAUUAAGAUUGUCAAAUGGAAUUUGCUGCUAAUGAAGCCAUUCUGAAUAUUCCAAAUAUUACCUUGAUCAAGAUACACACACAAAGAGGUGUUGCAUCAAGUACUAUGUAUUAAAACAUGACAAUAACAAAUAAUCUUCAGUCGAACCAGAAAAGUUUGUGAUUGAGACCAGGAUAGAAGUCCAAGUUUUUCUAAGUUUCCAAAUGGGUCACUCCUGGAAACAUGUCAAAUGUGAAAUUAGGCCCUUGAAUUUGCUUUACUUGGCAUUUCACAUGGACAUCGCUUAUCCUAAUCCGAGCAUUGUGAUUUGUUAGCUGUUUCAUGAAUCUAUGGAAUUCAUGUUUAUCUUUCUAAAAUCCUGAUUUUUUCUAAUUAUUUUGUCAUGCUAUUCCUUUGAUCUUUACUAUGUCCUCUUGUAUGCUCACAUGCAAUGUAUUUAGUGGAGGUUGGACUCAUCCUAAAUUAUCAGUACCACUCCUUAGCUUUCAAUCUAAAUUAAUUUUUCCAUAUUUAAUUCAGACUCUUAGCCAUAUUUUAAAAUAUAAAACAACUAAGGGUGCGUUUGAUUGCAAGCAUGAAAUUUGCAUAAAAAGAAAAUAAAUCUAUGUAAUUCAAUUGCCUAGAACUUAUUGGAUGAAAAUUGUCAAUUAAAUGUGUUUAAUUGAUUUAAUUUUCAACCUAAAAAAUAUCAUACUUGUCCGAUUUUUAUUAAUGGGUAGAUGAGAGAGAGAAAGAGAUAGUGAAUUUCCUGAAAAAUAAAAUCUUGCUCUCCUAAAGAAAAUAUUUUUCUUGAUUUUGAGGAAAAUAUAGUCAUGUGACAAAAGUAGGAAAAUAUUUUCCAUGGAAAAAUGUCAAGUCAAACAGCACAAAAGUAGGAAUUUACGUGGAAAGAAUACAUUUCCAUUUAAAAUAUUGGCAAUCAAAUGCACCGUAAGAUACAUACAUUUUUUCCUCCUUAACAUUUUAGGUCAACUGAUAUUUCACCCCAUUAUUAGUAAAAAUACAGAGGUUAAUAAACUUAAGAUUAGCAAACAUACACAAUUUUACAAUUUUAAAUGUUUAUUUCUGAGCAUUUCUUUUUAGUGAGAAAUUUUUCAUUUUUAAUGUUAUUAUGCUCCUUCCAUCUGAAAUUGUCCAGCCGCCUUGUUAUUUUGGGACUUCUCAUAUAGAUGUCCACUUACCUAAUACUAAUUUUCUUUUUUCUAAAAUUACCCCAAAUUAAAGAGAUCUAAUCCUAUGGCCUCGGCCCUCGUGUAUAGUGCAUGUGGAUCGUCUAUGAUGGGCAAUUUCGGAAGUUUAUGCAGAAGUUCCCCCUGAAACUCUUUCAUAAAAGCCAGUACCCUAUAAUUGCAGACAUUGAAUAUAAGGAGGGAUGCUUUUGAUAAAAUUUUGUUCAGAGUAUUGUUUGCCUCAUUUAUUUUCGUUCAGGAAGAAGGUUUACCCGAGACUGUACUUUCGGAAUUUAUAUUGUUUAAAUUUUAUGAUUCAUAUGCAAACACAGGUGGGUACAUAUCUAUCUUUUCAACCAAAGGUGCAGAUAUAUCUAUUGGUUCUCUAGGCAUAAAUUUAGUGCCUUUGGCUGUUACCAGUAACAGGCACUUUUAUUUGCUGUUUCUAAUGCUGAUCUUUAUUUUCCUAGGUUGUUUCCUUUCCACUUAACUUCAAUUUCCACUCACCUUUAGUCAAUUACUCUGCCGCUUGUAGGACUAGCAUUUCCUCCUCUUUACUUUUACAAUGGUGGAGUUAAAGAAUUUCUUGGAACUAUUAAGCAACACGUUUUGCUUGUGAGGUAUUUUUUGCUACUCUGCAAUUCUUCUUCACCAGUAUAACUUUUUAUUUAUUUAUUUAUUUGUAUGCACCUAAAACUGGAAUCUAUAGGAAAAUAAACUAUUGUGAGAUGUAUAUACAAAUUCUUUACAAGUAGAAUGCUCUAAGUAGUCCUCCAAAAAAGAAAAAAAGAAAAGAGAAGUAUUAUUCCCAAUAAAUUUUGGGGUUGACUGCAUGAAGGCAAUUUCGUCGUUCACUUGGUCCUUCAUUAAGGGGGUUUUCACAACUGGGGUUUUAAUUGGUUUUGAAAGAUUACGAAUUCUCAUGAAUUCGAAUGGAAUUCAAUAAAACCCAUAAGAAUCUCAUUAAAAAUGGUGAAAUUUCUAAAAAGUUUGUCAUGUGUAUUUAAAGUUUGAAAUCCAUUCAAAUAUCUUAGAAUCCCGUAUUAAUGAAGUCCUAUAAAUCGAUGAGUUGUAGGGGACUCCUAGAUUUUAAUAAAUCUGAGUUGACAACAAUUAAAAUCCAUUAAAAUCUCAGUUGGGGGACACACGUAUUUAUAUAGACCUAAAUUGUUGAAAUCUCAAUUCAGGACAUCCCCUAAUUCUAUUGGAAGAUCCAAUUCACUCAUGACAAAUACUGCAUCCAUUAAUUUAGUAAGCAAUCAGUAAUGGAAUGCUUGGUUGAAUGCAUCAGAUGCUGAUUUUGAUAGUCAAUUACUUGUGCUUUAAGUUAAAUUUUAAGGAAAAUACCAAAGUCUUACUUUACUUUCCUUGGAACGUUAAUAUUACAUGGAACCUUCUUUGCACACUAGCUCCUACUAUUCAAAAGUUUUCUGAGAAGUCCUGAAAUGGAAAAGAGAAAUGUAUGUUGUUCCCUUCUCCCCCCUCUAAUCUAAAGACAUUACUAUUUGUCUCUUCAUCAUUAUUGAAGCCGUAAACAUAAAAUUUGAAUAUUAUGAAUCAGAUAUUUGUUAAUGAGCUUGUUUCUGAUGCCAAGUUAUUAAAGAUAAUUAAUUACUUUCUGAUUAUUGGUAAAAUUGAUUUUUAAAAAUGUAGGAUAAACUAAAGAUCCCUUAAAUAUAAAAGGGAAAAGGUGAUGCUGAAUAUGAUUGAAUAGUAUCAAGUUGAUUCUGAAAUGUAGAAAUGGAUGAUAUAAUUACAAGUGAAACAGAGGAAGGGGGAAAAUGUCAUAGACAAUAUGUCGUUACAAGGCUUUGGCCUAACAGGAUUAAGCCUGCCUUUGGAUGGAAAUAUAUGCAGUUUAAAGCAGGUCGUUUACGUAAUUAUUGGAGGUGGACAUUCCAAGAAACAUUAGAAAGGAUUGUAAUUGAUAGAAAAUAUUGGGGUUGUUUUUCAAAGUUUUUGCUAAAAGUUUUAGUUGAUUUUGAUAGAAGUUGAUGAAACAUGUUGAAAAAUUGAUAAAAGUGUGGGUCCAAUGAAAUGUGGGUUAAUAUUAAUAGUUGACUUUGACCUCAUUUUUUAAGCAACUGUUUAAGCUUUCCCAAAUAACCACUAGUUGUUUGUUAAGGUUCUUGGACUUCUUUCAAAUCACUUUUGUGGGAAAAUUUUUAAUUGGAACUAUUGGCUGGUGGAGACUUCGAUGUAACUUUUGUCUUAAUCGUUCCCCCAUAUAACCAUUGCAACUGUUUCCAAUUUCAUUUGGGAAAGAAAAGUAAAGUAGCGAUGCUGCUAAGGUAACCACAAUAGGUGGAAACAGUUAUUUUCAGUUGCAAUGAUUGUUACUAGUUUCACUUUCUCACUAGAUUUUAUGUAACCAGGUCAGCUGAAGAUGCUAACGUGUUUCUUGUGAACGAUUUUCAAGAUCCUCUCCAGGUGAGCAUUAUAUUUAGUCAUUUUUUGGUUUUUACGCUGGCCUAAGGAAUAAGGUUGUCUAUUGUGAAUAACUGCUUUUCUUUCCUGUAAUGUUUACAAUUGCUUUGUACAGAGAACUCUAUCUUCAUUGGAGAUUUCCAGGGCUGUUUCUGUUGCAAAUGGUCCCUCUCCAACUCUUUCUACUGAAUCCGCCUCUGGUGGUGAUCCAGAAAACGGUGCUUCUGAUCAAAGCUCUAUUAGGUUUCAGCAAAAUGGCAGGCAGAGGCAAAAACAUAAUGAUCCUGCUCGGGAUAUUUCAAUUCAAGUGCUGGAGAAAUUCUCUCUUGUCACCAGAUUUGCUCGUGAAACAACUUCCCAGCUCUUCCGUGAAAGUCAUAUUGAUGCCUUUACUCCUAAUGAAAGAAAGAAGCACAAUCAGUCUACCCAUGAUCACCAGAGUGUUAUCAUGUCUAAUGAUUCUCAAAAAGUUCCAGAGGAUGUUUCUGAAACCUCAGAUCCCCCCUCCGACCCCCUGGAGGUAACAUAUUGAGUAUAUUUAGACAGGCUUAAAAACUUAUUUAACUUAUGAGGAGUGAGAUAAUGUAUGUGGAAUAAGUAAGCUUAUAAGCCCCCAAACAGGCUCUAUCCUCUCUCUCCUUCUCGUUCAAAAUUUUCUGGAAACCUGACCUUGAUGGAGUGUUAUUUACCUGGUUGUUUCCAAGUGACCUAGGGAAAAGUAAAUGGACACAAAAUAAAGCCUAUUUAAUUUUUUUGGCUUAUGAAUUGUGAGGAGGUAUAUAAGAAGCCUUGUUGUUUUACUGAGAAUCUCCAUUUGUUCCCACUUUAAUAAAAAAAAAAACACAUUAUCCAUCUUAUUCAUUGGAAAUUUGUCAGAAAUUUCAUUUCAUGCCAGGAAUUUUAAGUUAGUCUACUUUGACAUCCAUGCCCAAUAUAGCACACCUGAUCUGAAUUUGUCUUAUCUAUUCCCUUUUAUGGGAAAUCUCAAAUCAAUGUUGGCCACCUGAAGUUAAUUGCUUCAUAAAUCUUAUCUUUGAAAGCUCCUUGUACUCAGAUCUUCUAUUCAUUUUUUGUUUUUCAAUAACCACAUGAAGCAUCACCACCUCCAUUACUGAGGGAACCCAUGUUUAUUUUUCUACACAUCCUGGCUCCAAUAAUAAUAAUAAUAUUAUUAUCAUCAUCAUCAUCAUCAUCAUCAUCAUCAUUAUAUAUGGGCACCCUAACUCUUCCUAUUACUUCUCAUUAAACCUAAGCUCUGAUGCAUUGUGUCAUUAGUGGGUAAGCCCCCAACAAAAUGUUCCAAAUAAUUCAUGUUAUUGAUAUGACUGUCAAACUGUCACAAUCCUCUUCCUUUAUCCGAGCUUGGAAAUUGCUAUGAAGAAAUCUAGGCAUAGUUACCAUGUCAUCUUAGACUGUCUCCUGAAAAUCAGAUAAUCAGUUUGCUUUGGGAACAUAAAAAAAUUAAUAAUUCAAUCUUGUUAGUUUUGGAUUGCUAUUGCACAGAUUUCUGAUGUUAAACGUAUGAAUCCUAUAAAAAUGCUCACUCUGUUAUUAAAAACUGUGAACCCAGGUUCCUCAGAAUCGUUAGUUACUCAAGAUUUUCAAAUAAUACUUUGAGAAGGAAAGAGGAAGUUGAAAGACUACGGAAUAUUAUGCUUCUUAAACCAACUUGAAUUCUCAACUCUAAAUGUAAAAAGCUCCAAUUACCUGUAGCUGGUAGCGAUAUAAGCUUAGAACUAAACAACAGUUAAUAAGAAGUGUUUAAACUACAAUGCUGAGGUAGAUUGAUUAUCUUCCCAUUCCGUGAGAGACUAACAUUCUAAGUGGGCACCAGAAUAUUGAUUCUCCUACUCAAAAUGGUUGAAUAAUGUUAUGAUGGAAUUACCUCUAUUUUUAUUUGGGCUACUAAGUAAUUCUUCACUUGGUCAUACCCCAUCUUUCUAGCUCAUCUACAUAUUCUACAAAGUUGGACAACCUUUAUGGCCUAUAAAAUUUCUUAAUAUUAUUCACUUCAAACUACAAGCAAAUGUGAGGUCAAUGAACUUUUGAGAAAUCCAAUAUAUUAUAUGGUGGUGUUGAUUUAUUAUCAUUCAUAAUUCCAAUUAUAUUCAUGAUUUGAAGUUCUACAUGCAUUGCUUCAAUGUUAUCAAACUCUUUUUCUUUUUCUUUUUCUUUUUUCCCUUUCUUAAAUACGCACAGUGAAAUUUUAUUAUCAAUUAGAACUCCUUUUUAUUUUGGCUGACUCGUGUUUCAUGAAUUUAGUUCUCAAAUUAUGAUAUUUGCAUUUUAUAAUUUCAUCUUCUUUUGGCAGUUUGAUAGAUUAUCACUAGUAUGGGGAAAACCACGCCAACCACCCUUGAGACGUGAAGAGGUAAAUACCAUCUUUAAGUAUUCUUUGUAAGCAUCUAAUAUGCUAUGUUUAUGUUUUUGAGAUCGUAGCAUUUUUUGCCCCAUUAUAUGACUAUCAUGCCAGAAGAUUUAUAUGUAUCUGAAUAACAAUGUUAGUAGAUGCUCGUGUAAAAUCCCCCUUUUAAAAAGUUUUAUGUCGGUGACAAAUGUUAUUAUAUCGGCAAAAUAGACAAUUAUUAAGUGUUAUAAGAAUCUUAAAUGACAAACUCACAAAUCAAAGACCUGAUGACAACAAUAGACAAAAAUGGGGUUUCAACUUCCACCUUGGUGUUGAGUGUUCAAACCGCAGAGCUCAUAUGUAGAGACCCAGAUGCCUUGAACUUCCGUCCUUUUGGAACCAUUGGAGUAUUUAAGGCAUCAUGUUGAUAAAGAAAAUCCAUUCUAAUUGCUAGGAUACUUCUUUUAGAGCUACAAAGACAAUCUCAAAUACAACUUGAGGGAAUAAAACAUCAACCAUCAGCUAUGCUGUUCAUAUGUUGUUUGGUCACCUCUUUCUCUUUCUUUCUUUUUUUAGCAAUUAGGGGUAUAGAAAGGAGCUAAGUCUGUGAAACUAAAGUUUGUAGACGAGAGAUGAAUUGGGGAUGAUUAACGAUGGUAAAAUCAUAAGUUAGCGUGUGAAUCUGUUUUCUUUUUUGUUGUUGAUUAAUACAUUUAAGAGGGUAUUCCUUUUUAUUUUUUCUUUAUUUUUGUUGUGCUACUUGAAGGAGACAGGAGCUAUGGUUUUGAUAUCAAUUUAGGGCUACAAUUUGAUCUACUUGUUUUGUCCAAUUCCUCCAAUGCUUUUUCCUCCUAGUUAGUUUCUGUCUUUUAAGCCGUCAAUUUUUUUCUUUCUUGUUUUGUUUUUUCUUGGUUAAUAUGACCACUUUGGUUUUAUUGCCAUACUUUUAGUGCUGAAGGUUAGCUUAUCUUCUUAUAUAUGCCUUGUGCAUCAAUGAUGUGCGAUAGAAUGACUGCGGCACCAAUGCAUUCACUUGUGUCAUGGGUAGAUUUCCUUUUACUGCACAAGAAGUACGUGUUAUAUUAUAUCUCUGAGUUGAUAGUGUACUUGCAGUGGACUACAUUUUUGGAUUCUGAAGGGCGAGUGAUGGAUUCAAAGGCGUUGAGAAAGAGGAUCUUCUAUGGAGGAGUGGAGCACAAUUUGCGGGCGGAGGUUUGAGUAUUUGAAGAUGAUUUUUUGUUUUGGAAACAUGCUAUCACUUUAUUUCAUUCAGUUAUGUUCUUUAUGUCCCGAGUCUGUUAUGAGUCUCAUCAUUAUGAUUUACAGGUUUGGACAUUCUUAAUGGGAUACCAUGAAUAUGGUUCAACAUAUGCAGAGAGGGAAUACCUCAUGUCCAUAAGGAAGUCAGAGUAUGAAACCAUAAAAAGGCAAUGGCAGGUUAGUUACUGAUUUUGUAUAUGCUUGAAAUAUAGAUGCAUUUGUUUCGAGAAUUAUUUCAAAUCUCAUUAUUGUUAAUGCUCAAGAUUACAGGGGCCCACCUUUUUCACCUUUUCUAUUUCUUUUCUUUUUUUAAGAAAAUUUUAUCUUAGUGUCAUUUUUCAUCCCAAAUGCAGACAAUUUCCUUACACAUACCUUAUUGUUGCAGUAGACUUGUAAUGUCUCCCUCCACUGUCUUGUUGCUGCUCCAUGUUGUAAUUUUGGAGUAUGCCCCUAAUGAGAAAGCCUUUUGACCUUGUUCUAAAUGUAGACUGAAACCCUAUUAGCCCUGUUCUUAAUUCUUAUAGGGUAUUCACGAACCAAAGGAAGGCACCAAGCCGAAGUUUAGAAAUCACAUAGGUCAAUAUCUGCUCAGUCUACGUUAGCAGCUUGGUAAGACUAGGGUGCACAUUUUCAAGAUGUUACUUGAUUACCUUUCCAACCUUUGCUUCGUCGUAUGUUCAAUCAAAAAAAGGUCUCAAAAAGAGCCUUUACAUUAUAGUAGAUUAGGAAAGUGCACUCACUCUGAUGGCGUACCUUUUGCAUGUUGGGUCAGCAGGAAAUGGGAAACCACAUCUUGGAUAACUAGGAAAAAGCCUAUAUUUUUUAAUUAGUAAAGAUUCUUUUUAGGAAAAAUAUUGAUUUUCCUAGAGGAAAGGACUGACUUAUUUGAGACAAAUUGUCGUGGCAUCAUAUUAUUCUCUUCACAUCAGAUUCUACCUCGAUAUAUCUUUUAUUGAUAGUUUUGGUAUCUAAAACUGAACCUGAGAGUGUAAUUUAUGUAGAAAGUAUCAUUGAAAUCAAUGGAAAGAAUGCUCCAAAUGACUUGACACUAUAACAGAAGUAAGGGAAUAUGUCUGACGUCAAAGAGGAAUCAUUUGCUUCUCUCUAUGGAAUUUAGCCCUUGUGGUUCCAUUAAAACUAGUUUUUGGGGGAAAAUGUAGUUUGAAAUGGUGAUUUUUUGAAGAAUGUAUAGUUAAAAAAAAGGAAAAAUUUUGGGUUCAAGUGUAAUAUUAUUUUAUUGAAGAAUGUGGUGGGAAAGGAGAGAGAGAGAUGCAUGUUAAAUAAAAUGGAGCCUAAACAGGGGCUUACUCUAUUCAUACCUUUUACCUAUAGAGACUUAUGCUUGUUGCAUUUCAAAGGAACUGUGUUUCUUGAGCUAGCAAACUUAGCUUAAAAAAUUAAUUGUAAUAUUUUAUUCAGAGCAUCUCACCGGAGCAGGCAAAAAAAUUUACAAAAUUCAGGGAGAGGAAAUGCCUUAUCGAGAAGGAUGUGGUACAUUCCAGUUGCACAUUUCUUGGUCAUAUACGUAAAUUUAUCAAGAUGCAGGACACCCUACUUAUCAAUGUAAUAUUAUUAUUUUUUUUUUUUUCAAGGUGAGGACUGACAGGUCGCUCUCAUUCUAUGACGGGGAUGAAAAUCCUAAUGUCUAUCUUUUACGUGAUAUACUGUUGUCAUACUCCUUCUACAACUUUGAUCUUGGGUACUGUCAGGUAGUUAACUUUUAUUAUGUUACAAUCUUGCCAUUAAAUAGUCAAUGUGUUUCUGGUAAAUGUGCAAGAAUGCUACCAGUUUUGGGGUUGGAGGCGGGGUGGGUGUUAUAAAUACAUCCUCCGACAAUCAAGAGAUGCUGAUUGUCAAUUAGUGAACAGAAUUUUAUCAUUGAUGUGAAAGCGUAUAAUUUUUUAUGUAUGUGUAUCUGUCUUUGUGGUCUAUUUUCUCAGUAAAUGGAUGGUGAAUCCUAAAACUUCUGGUCCAACAUGAAAUUUAACUUGAUACAGAAAUUAGCAUAUUACUUUACCUGCAAGGAGUUUAAACUUUUAAACAAGGCAGUGUCUACAUUAUAUAAUACAUUCUUUAUGGUAGGUUCAUAUGGUAAAUAAUAUGAGGAAAAUAGAUGAUAUUUUUAAUAAAGAAAUCCUUUCUUCUCAUUCUUUAUGAGCUUACCAUUAUUGGAUUUAUCAAAAUAGUGUUAAUAGAUAUAAUAUAUGUUGUUUGUUUAAAACAAAUGAGCUGAUCGUAGAAAUUUCAUAAGGUUGCAUUUACUACCAUAACUGAUCUAGUUGUCUUCUUCUUGAUUUUCUUGCUCAUAUUAUUGGCACUUGUGAGAGCCUUUUCUCUAUUGAUGCAGUUGUUAGCUCUGUUUCCCACUGUAUGAAACACUGUUUUUCUUGACUUGUAGGGCAUGAGUGAUCUUUUGUCCCCAAUAUUAUUUGUCAUGAGAGAUGAAUCAGAGUCAUUUUGGUGCUUUGUUUUCCUGAUGGAACGCCUUGGACCCAAUUUCAAUCGUGACCAAAGUGGGAUGCACUCUCAACUUUUUGCAUUGUCAAAGGUUUUUUCUCUCUCUCUGUGGGUGGGUGGGCGGGUGCGGGUGCGGGUGCGUGUGCGUGUGCGUGUGUGUAUGUGUGGAGGCACGUGUAUGUGGGGGUAGGGCUCUGGCCUCUGAGGGUGCGUGUACCUUGGAAGUUUUAAUGGUUGAAAUUGUUUCUUGAACUUGAUCUUGGUUGCUUAACAGGACAGCCAGGCUGAACAUUAAGUGGUGGUUACAGCACAAAAUUCUUUCCUUUUGGAGUUAUUGCAAUCAAACUUAUUUUGUCCUAGUCCAUGAAAGGAGCUUCAUAUCUAUCUGAAUAGUGAAAAAUUUUGCAAAGUACAGAAUGAUAAUAGUAGGAAUUUGUGCAAAAUUUGGUAGUUAACUAUGUACACUCAAACUACAAAAUAAAUUUACUAGAUUUACUUUUUGACAUCUUUUUUAGCAGCCCUAUAAAGAAUUUUUAUUUUUUUACACCAUUACAUUUUUUAAAUAGAGCAUAUAUGUUUGAUAAUCAUGACUGUCAUACCAAUUUUUGAGGUGUAUAUGCAUUGUUCCUUCCCUGUAGUCUUUUUCUUUUUUUGCUCCAAAUGACAUCCCGGUGACUUUUUCCAGCUUCUUUACGUUGGUGAAUUCUGGCAAUGAAAUAAAUUAUGUUCAGUUUAAUAGAAACCUAACAUUUAUUUGACUUUUAUCAUGCAGCUAGUGGAGUUGUUAGACACUCCAUUGCAUAACUAUUUUAUGCAGAAUGAUUGCUUGAAUUAUUUCUUCUGUUUCCGCUGGAUUCUUAUACAGUUUAAAAGGCAAGUAGACAGCUCCCUGUUUCUUAUUUACUGCGUGCAAUUUAUUGGUGUUGCAAAAUUGUUAUCUUUACAUUGACAUAAUGUGGAUUGUUUAACCAUAAUAUUUUCCCUGCCCCGUAAUAUGGUUUAGAUUGGUUGUCCAAACACUACCAUUCCGUUGCUUUAUUAAUAUUGCGACCAUAAGUAGUUACAAAGUUUGUAUGAAUUUCAAGAAAAUAACACUCUUUGGAGGAUCUUUAUAUCAUACUGAACUGCAUGAUAAAAGAUCACAGAGUUAAAAUGUCAUUUCAGAAUACUGCAUUUGUAGAACACAUAACUGUGUAGUAAUAAUAUGAUUUCAUAUAUCCUUCAUUUUGUCCUGCAGCUGAUUGCCUGAUGUUUCGCAGGGAAUUUGAAUAUGAGAAAACAAUGCGUUUGUGGGAGGUAUUAUGGACACAUUAUCUGAGUGAGCAUCUGCACCUUUACGUAUGUGUUGCUAUCUUAAAGAGAUACCGCAGCAAGAUAAUGGGGGAGCAGAUGGAUUUUGACACUCUCUUAAAAUUUAUCAACGAACUGAGUGGUCACAUCGACCUUGACGCAAUCCUCAGAGAUGCAGAAGCACUGUGUAUAUGUGCUGGUGAAAACGGGGCUGCCUGUAUACCUCCUGGAACUCCACCUUCAUUGCCUCUCGAGGAUCCCAUGGCAUAUCCUCAACUGGAUGAUGAUGUAUUGUAGAUGGCACAUGUAUAAAGAGACAUGCAAUAACGUAUAAUUAGUUUUCAGUGAUUUUUUGAUGUUUAAUAAGUACGCAUUGAUUUGAAUAGAUUGUGUGCUAUACAAGGAAUCUUCUACCUUAUCUUCAAUCUUGGGAGACACUUCCAAGUUCCAUGAUAUGUGGUCAAAGGAAUGUCUUUUCUGUAUGCUUUUGGUUUAGUGUUCUUACCGAUGGCUUUCCAUUUGAAUGUCUGCACUUGCACUGCAUACCAGGAAAUGUUCUGAUAUACUUUCAUAUUUUGAGCUAUUAACAUUCUUCUGAUUAUGCAUUUGCGAUGCAAAUGGA
rnacentral:lncRNA from 1 species